AGUCUUCUCAGGUUGGCCUUUUAGCUUUGGUUGGCCUUUGGGAGCUCGACCUCAAUCUCCUCAUCACGGAGACACCUCAAGCUUGAUGACUUGAUCUCAGGCUUUAUAUCUCAAUCGCGAUCUUCUCACCUUAGCAUUGGCUUUUACUUCGGUCUUAGUCAUCACCUCAGCCUUAGCUUUCACUUCGGCUUUAGCCUUUAUCUCGGCCUUAGCUUUCACUUUAUUGUCAGCUUUUACUUUGGUCUCAGUUAUCACUUCGCCUUGGCUUUUACUUAGGCCUUAAUCUUCACCUGGUUCUUGGCAUUUACCUUGGCACCGGUCUUUACCUCGAUCUAAACCUUCACCUUAAUCCCUAUCUUGGGUUUCAACUUAGUCUCAGCUUUUACCUCAGCCUUGGAUUUUAGCUUGGUCUAGGUCUUCAUCUCGACCUCAGUAGCUCGUUGAUCUGCUGACUUACAAAAAAGAAAAAGCAAAACAAUAGAUGAAGAUUUGAGAGCCUCUCAUAAUGAGAGAGUUUUCCUCUGAAAGCCCAUUAUUUUGGGGUC
rnacentral:lncRNA from 1 species